UAGAUACCCUAUUAUUUUGGAUUUAAAAUUUUAAGCUUGAGUAGUAUUAGGUAUGGUCUUGAAACUUAAAGAAUUUGGCGGCAUUUUAGUCUAGUUAGAGGAAUCUGUCCCAUUAUCGAUAAUCCACGCUGAACCUUACUUAAUUUAAUUUAAUAUGUAUACCGCCGUUUACUAUGAAAAUCUUUUUAGGGAUAAUUUUCUCAAAAUUUUAAUUAAUUUUAUUUCAGGUCAAGGUGCAGUUUAUAAUUAAGUGGUGAUGGAUUACAUUAUUUAUAAAAUAAAUGGAUUAGAAUUUGAAAUUAUUUUAUGAAGGUGGAUUUAAUAGUAAUUAAUAAUAAGAAUUAUUUUUAUGAUUUUAGCUCUAAAAUGUGUACACAUCGCCCGUCACUCUCGUUAUUAAGAUGAGAUAAGUC
rnacentral:rRNA from 1 species